AUACCCUCAAGCAUAGCUUGGUAUUGGGCUUUCGUCCACUGGAUGGGCCUAAAAAUUAGUGGAGAUGCCCCUCUGGCUUCAAGCGUAGUAAUAAAAAAAAACUCGUCUUGAUAAAAAGUGGGAAAGUAUCUGCCAAACAAAAAACCUUUCCAAAAAG
rnacentral:misc_RNA from 1 species